AAAUAUUCAGGAAAACUUUGAAAUAAUUCGAUCUUGAUUUUUGUAUCUGGUUUAGCUUCCUGAUUUAAAUCUUGUAUUAUAUUUGAUUGUUACAUUGACGUUUUUGUAGAUACUUAAAUCUUAUCGUCUUUCUGAAAGUAGACAAAUCCACCAUGAACAUGCUGCACAAAGUUGAGCCUUAUGUUACUUACGGUGGGAGCUGUUGUAAAUUUCAGUAGAAAAAGAUGGAGGCUUGAGGACUCCUUUUGCAAUUGAUGGCGACCGCCGACCGACGAAGAUAACCGAUGCGUAUUUCCGUUUACAGACUUACAAAUUGGGUAUUACUCUCCCUCUUAUGUAAUAUAUUUGGGAUGAAUUCAUUUUGUGGUGCAAGAAUAACUGUAUAUUUAUAUGUACAAUUUUUCCAAUUUGAACUGUUUCAAAUUAUUUGCCUAUGUUUUUCUCUUUGCUAUAUCAAAAUUAUUACUUGGAUGUACCUAUUUGUGGGUUCUUGUUAUUUUUUCAUUAUAGAUGGAUUCCAUAUAACAAAAUACUGUGUCAUUCGUAUUUUUGGGUGAGUGUUAACUGUAAUCGUAAUAAGAAAAAAAUGGUCGGGCUGCAUCGAUAUUAAAUUGGCCAGGUAUCUAAUCUUUCAAAGACUUAUUAAUAGUUUUAUGCUUUAAUAGCCUCUGAGAAUGCAAUACUUUUGCAUCUAUUAAUAGUUUUAUGCUUUCAUAGCCUGUUUGUGCUCUUAAUAAAGAGUAAACCGUUUGUUUUAUCACAUGAUUUUGUGCUUCCACGUACAAGCUGAGGUUCAACGAAAACAUUUAGUGGUGCGGAUAAUUGGUACCUUUUACUUAUCCAUUUCCCUAAAAGCUUACCUCAUUUCAUUUCUUCUCUUACAUAUUUUUUUCUUUGGAAACUUCAAAACUACACAUUGUGAGCGUUACUGUACUUUUACCUCUACUUUUAAUGAAUGAAUCUUUUGGUAUAUGGAAACUUAUUUCAUUGGUUAAUCAUGUUCUACAGUUCGAAUUCACAACAUGUAGGGUACAAUUAAUCAUCAACAAUAUUGAAAACAAGAAUUAGAGCAUGGAAGGAGAACGAAAAUUUGCGGAAUACUAUAGUGUAAGGGUGUCUUGCGGUUCUUCUAUGACGUGUUAUCUCUGGAAGACUUGUAUAAAUGAUUACAUCUUUGAAUUGUUACGUAAUUUUGCGGUAUAUUUCUUUUUUGUU